rnacentral:lncRNA from 1 species
UCUCUAUAUAAAGAAAUAAAGAGCACACAUCAAACCAAACAUAAAUGGAAAGAAAUCAAUGGUUGAAUGACACAUGAUUCUGGCUUGUCAGCCCUAGUUGGCACCUUUCGCUCCAAAUCAUCAUCUUUCUAUGAAGGAAUAAAAGAAUGGCUACUCCAUAGAGCCAUUUUAUGGUUGUUUCUUGAUUACAUGCUAAACAAGGAGUGGAUUAUUCAUGCCUCCCCUUUCUAGACCAUAUAGGGUAACUUUCUGACGUUGCCAUGGUAUUUGUAAACUGUCAUGGCGCUGGUGGGAGUGUAGCAGUGAGGACAACCAGAGGUCACUCUCAUCACCGUCUUGGUUUUGGUGAGUUUUAGCCAGCUUCUUUACUGCAACCUGUUUUAUCAGCAAGGUCUUUAUGACCUGUAUCUUGUGCCGACCUCGUAUCUCAUCCCGUGACAUAGAAUGCCUUAACCAUCUGAGAAUGCAGCCCAGUAGGUCUCAGCCUCAUUUUACCCAGCUCCUAUUUAAGAUGGAGUUGCUCUGGUUCACAUGCCUCUGACAA